GAUGAACGCUGGCGGCGUGCCUAAUACAUGCAAGUCGAGCGAACAGACGAGGAGCUUGCUCCUCUGACGUUAGCGGCGGACGGGUGAGUAACACGUGGAUAACCUACCUCUAAGACUGGGAUAACUUCGGGAAACCGGAGCUAAUACCGGAUAAUAUAUUGAACCGCAUGGUUCAAUAGUGAAAGACGGUUUUGCUGUCACUUAUAGAUGGAUCCGCGCCGCAUUAGCUAGUUGGUAAGGUAACGGCUUACCAAGGCAACGAUGCGUAGCCGACCUGAGAGGGUGAUCGGCCACACUGGAACGGAGACACGGUCCAGACUCCUACGGGAGGCAGCAGUAGGGAAUCUUCCGCAAUGGGCGAAAGCCUGACGGAGCAACGCCGCGUGAGUGAUGAAGGUCUUCGGAUCGUAAAACUCUGUUAUUAGGGAAGAACAAAUGUGUAAGUAACUAUGCACGUCUUGACGGUACCUAAUCAGAAAGCCACGGCUAACUACGUGCCAGCCGCCGCGGUAAUAC
rnacentral:rRNA from 1 species